rnacentral:rRNA from 1 species
UACAGAGGGGGCAAGCGUUGUUCGGAAUUACUGGGCGUAAAGGGCGCGUAGGCGGCCUGCUAAGUCGAACGUGAAAUCCCUGGGCUCAACCCAGGAACUGCGUCCGAUACUGGUUGGCUUGAAUCCGGGAGAGGGACGUGGAAUUCCAGGUGUAGCGGUGAAAUGCGUAGAUAUCUGGAGGAACACCGGUGGCGAAGGCGGCAUCCUGGACCGACACUGACGCUGAGGAGCGAAAGCCAGGGGAGCAAACGGG